NNNNNNNNNNNNNNCUUGGCUCUGAUCGUAUGGUCUCCCCUAUCGUGAGUGUGUAUUGUCUAUGGUCACUUCUGGGCCUCACCUGAUGGUGCUGGGCCACGAUAUUGGCCCUUUGCCAGGCCAGUAGGUUCUCUGAGUCCUCCUGCACGGUGCUGCAAUCCAAACACAUCCAAGAAUGACGGUGCAUGAAUACCUUUCAAGGACCCAUGCAUCCGGGUGCUCCCCGUGGGCAGGUCCCUGUCCGUCUGACCGGAGCCAGAGACAACCCCAUAGCCCUGAGGGGCACAGGCUGGGCUGGAACAUCACACGCGGGCCCCCACUGCCUGUCUUUUGCUCGCCCACCUACAGUCCACCUUCCCAGCCACUGUCCCAGGACACGCCAUCACCCUGGGAUCACAGAGCGCUCCCACCCCGGUAACAGGAGCACACGGGCGGAGGACCCAGGAGGCUCUGGCAAAUGCCGAUCUGAUGCUCUGAUGCUCGGGGUGAUGUCUCCCAGCCCGGGGAGAUCGAAGGUUUCUCUGAGAUUCCACAAACACAACGACCGAGGGGAGAAAGCAAUGGAGUGGACUUCAUCAAAAUUAAAACCUGAUGCCAGCAAGAGUGCGACCACACUCCCCACCCUGAGGGCAAGGAUGCGUGAAUAUCCUGAGGGGGGGCCUGGGGGAAGCACCAGGGACUCCGCCCACAUUCCAGUGCGUGAAGAGCAAGCCUGUUCACCGGCCAGGGGGACCCAGCAGGCCCUGACUGUCCUCCCCUCACCACAUGGUGGGGCGGGGGGCGGGGUGUCAUCUCUGUCGGGGUCCAUGCAUCUAGGACAAGCUGGAAAGGUCAUGUAUUGGGUCUCCCUGCAUAGCACAGGCCUUACAGGGGAGUGGGGGUUCCAGGGAGCUGCCGGUCUCUGACUGCAGCCUCCUUCCCUGGACAGGGCCUUAGGGGGCUGCCCUCACCCCAUGGGGCUGUGGAAGGGCUGCAGGAGCUGCUCACGGUCAUCUCAUUGGGGUCGGGGUGUUUUGGACCCCAGCCCGGGAGGCCAGCGCCCCCACCCAGACCCACAGGCCCCAGAGUGGCCCCC
rnacentral:lncRNA from 1 species